GUGGGGAAUAUUGGACAAUGGGCGAAAGCCUGAUCCAGCCAUGCCGCGUGUGUGAAGAAGGUCUUCGGAUUGUAAAGCACUUUAAGUUGGGAGGAAGGGCAGUAAGUUAAUACCUUGCUGUUUUGACGUUACCGACAGAAUAAGCACCGGCUAACUUCGUGCCAGCAGCCGCGGUAAUACGAAGGGUGCAAGCGUUAAUCGGAAUUACUGGGCGUAAAGCGCGCGUAGGUGGUUUUGUAAGUUGGAGGUGAAAUCCCCGGGCUCAACCUGGGAACUGCCUCCAAAACUACUGAGCUAGAGUACGGUAGAGGGUAGUGGAAUUUCCUGUGUAGCGGUGAAAUGCGUAGAUAUAGGAAGGAACACCAGUGGCGAAGGCGACUACCUGGACUGAUACUGACACUGAGGUGCGAAAGCGUGGGGAGCAAACAGGAUUAGAAACCCGGUAGUCC
rnacentral:rRNA from 1 species